CCCUUAGAUGUUCUGGGCCGCACGCGCGCUACACUGAUGCAUUCAACGAGUCUAAAACCUGCUCUGAUAGGGGUGGGUAAUCUUUUGAAUGUGCAUCGUGAUUGGGAUAGAUGAUUGCAAUUUUUCAUCCUCAACGAGGAAUGCCUAGUAAACGCAAGUCAUCAGCUUGCAUUGAUUACGUCCCUGCCCUUUGUACACACCGCCCGUCGCUCCUACCGAUUGAAUGAUCCGAUGAAUAUCAUGGAUUGAGGAUGCAAGUAGGUUCGCCUAUCUUCAUCUUCGAGAAGUGAAGUAAAUCUUAUCAUUUAGAGGGAGGAGAAGUCGUAACA
rnacentral:rRNA from 1 species